AACGCACAUUGCGCCCCUUGGUAUUCCAUGGGGCAUGCCUGUUCGAGCGUCAUUUGUACCUUCAAGCUCUGCUUGGUGUUGGGUGUUUGUCUCGCCUUUGCGUGUAGACUCGCCUUAAAACAAUUGGCAGCCGGCGUAUUGAUUUCGGAGCGCAGUACAUCUCGCGCUUUGCACUCAUAACGACGACGUCCAAAAGUACAUUUUUACACUCUUGACCUCGGAUCAGGUAGGGAUACCCGCUGAACUUAA
rnacentral:misc_RNA from 1 species